CAGUGGCGCAGCCUGCCGUCUAGCUGCCAAAGAUUGGUUUUCCACAGGAGUUAGUUCUGUUGGCACAGAUUUGAGGUAAUCCAUUGCCUAUCAUCUGAUUUGAAUGUUUGUUAUAGAUUUAGUGUUGAUUCGGGGUGAUUGUUUGGAUGGAAGUGACCAAAUGGUUCCGAUAGCUAGGUCUUCGGCUGUGAGAUAAUAGGGCAGCAGCCAUAUGAAGGGUGUUGGAUUUGGAAAUCAACAACUCUAUCUUUCUCCGGCCAUGAUCCUUGGUAGCGAGCACUUCUCCGGUUGUGAAUUAACAUAGAGGUUUCCGAUUCAGGAUUCGAGGUGGAUGUGAUCGUCUAGAUUUGUUGAA